UUGAACCCGCAACCUUCCAGUCACAGGCGCAGAUCCUGAGCCACAGAGCCACCGCUCCGCCUCUGUACAUCUAGCACAUACAGAAGCAUUUUGACGUUUUAACUAAGCACUAUGACAUGAAGUAGCUGGCGCAGGGGCCAGUCCGUGCCACAUCAACAGAUACGACCUUGGCCCCUGUCUCCGUUUUUUUUUUUGUUAAAACGACUGGUUAAUUAAAAGCACUUAGAAAUUAAA